UUCCUGCGCACCGCUGCGCCCCCCGCGCCCCUACGCGCUCUGCUGGCCCGCCAGCUCGUUUUCUUCGCGGGCGCACUCCUCGCCGCGCUGCUUGUGCUCACCGUCUACGACGAGGACGUGCUAGCCGUGGAGCACGUGCUCACCGCCAUGACCGCGCUCGGGGUCACCGCCACCGUGGCCAGGUCUUUCAUUCCGGAAGAGCAGUGCCAGGGUCGUGCGCCGCAGCUCCUGCUGCAGACAGCCCUGGCCCACAUGCACUACCUCCCGGAGGAGCCCGGCCCUGGCGGCAGGGACCGCGCCUACCGGCAGAUGGCGCAGCUGCUGCAGUACCGAGCGGUCUCCCUCCUGGAGGAGCUCCUGUCCCCGCUCCUCACCCCGCUGUUUCUGCUUUUCUGGUUCCGCCCUCGUGCCCUGGAGAUUAUCGACUUUUUUCAUCAUUUCACUGUGGAUGUGGCUGGAGUUGGGGACAUCUGUUCCUUUUCUCUUAUGGAUGUGAAGCGCCACGGCCACCCUCAGUGGCUCUCGGCGGGACAGACUGAGGCCUCGCUGUCUCAGCGCGCGGAGGACGGCAAGACUGAGCUUUCUUUGAUGCGAUUCUCCCUGGCGCAUCCGCUCUGGCGCCCCCCAGGGCACAGCUCUAAGUUUCUUGGGCACCUCUGGGGCCGAGUACAACAAGAUGCAGCUGCCUGGGGCGCCACCUCGGCUCGUGGCCCCUCCACCCCAGGGGUGCUCAGCAACUGCACCUCGCCCCUGCCUGAGGCCUUCCUGGCCAACCUCUUCGUGCACCCUCUCCUGCCCCCGAGAGAUCUGAGCCCGACAGCGCCCUGUCCAGCAGCGGCCACGGCCAGCCUCCUUGCCUCCAUUUCCCGAAUUGCCCAGGACCCCAGCUCUGUGUCCCCAGGAGGCACUGGGGGCCAGAAGCUGGCCCAGCUCCCAGAACUUGCUUCUGCCGAGAUGAGUCUCCAUGUCAUUUACCUGCACCAGCUUCACCAGCAGCAGCAGCAGGAGCCGUGGGGUGAGGCUGCAGCCUCCAUCCUGUCCAGGCCCUGCUCCAGCCCCUCACAGCCACCCUCGCCUGAUGAGGAGAAGCCAUCCUGGUCAAGUGACGGCUCCAGUCCUGCCUCUAGCCCCAGACAACAGUGGGGAACCCAGAGGGCCCGGAAUCUGUUCCCUGGAGGGUUUCAGGUGACCACAGACACCCAGAAGGAGCCUGACCGGGCCUCUUGCACUGACUGAGACGACUCCUCAGGGUACCCUGGCUUCCGCAGCCACAGGAGACUGGAGGGUGGAGUGGAAAAACACAAGGAGUCAUUGUUAGAGGCCCCAUAGAUGACAAGCCCAGGUGCUUUAGUUGGGCAGGACCAGGGAGUCAGUGAGGAACCUGCCCCGAGAACAGAGAAAAGGUAGAAAAGAGAGGAGAUGCUGAUGGCAUCUGGAAACAAGUCUUAGAGAUGGUCUCCACCCGGAGGGGAUAAGGGGAGACAUCCCCAACUGGAAUGUGUCCUGGAGCAGUUGCCUGGGAAGAAGUCCUCGAGUUUCCUCAAGGUGAGGGACAGAGGUCAAGGAUGAGGCCGAGCUAAAUGGAAGGGCGACAGUGAGGCAGGUGGGCUUUAAGGCUGUGGAUUCGUCAUGCUGGCGGCUGCCAGCAGCACUUUCAGGUUCCUUGUGGCUUGCAGGGGAUGGGGACUUGUGAGUGGAAAGGCGGGAGGGCUGAUGUUUUUGGACUUCAGCCCGGGUGUGAUGUCUCAGGAAGUGGGUGUGGCUCCCCAUCCUGUAUGAAAUAAGCAGUGA
rnacentral:sRNA from 1 species